rnacentral:rRNA from 1 species
GACGAACGCUGGCGGCGUGCUUAACACAUGCAAGUCGAACGGAGUGGCGAACGGGUGAGUAACACGUGGGUGACCUGCCCUGCACUUCGGGAUAAGCCUGGGAAACUGGGUCUAAUACCGGAUAGUGUGGGAUGGGCCCGCGGCCUAUCAGCUUGUUGGUGGGGUAAUGGCCGACCAAGGCGGCGACGGGUAGCCGGCCUGGGCGGGUGGACGGCCACAAUGGGACUGAGGCACGGCCCAGACUCCUACGGGAGGCAGCGGGGGGGAAUAUUGCACAGUGGGGGGAAGCCUGAUGCAGAGGCGCUGGGUGGGGAAUGACGGCCUUCGGGUUAUAAACUCCUUUCACCAUAGACGCGGUAGAUGGAGAAGAAGCACCGGCUAACUACGUGCCAGCAGCCGCGGUAAUAC